GCCGAUGUGGCGGAAUGGUAGACGCAACGGACUUAAAAUCCGUUGGGGUGUAAACCCCGUGCCGGUUCAAGUCCGGCCAUCGGUA
rnacentral:tRNA from 1 species